UACGUAGGGGGCAAGCGUUGUCCGGAAUCAUUGGGCGUAAAGAGCGUGUAGGCGGCCCGGUAAGUCCGCUGUGAAAGUCGGGGGCUCAACCCUUGAAAGCCGGCCGAUACUGUCGGACUAGAGUCCGGAAGAGGCGAGUGGAAUUCCCGGUGUAGCGGUGAAAUGCGCAGAUAUCGGGAGGAACACCAAUGGCGAAGGCAGCUCGCUGGGACGGUACUGACGCUGAGGCGCGAAAGCGUGGGGAGCAAACAGG
rnacentral:rRNA from 1 species